AAAACCAAGCACUUUAAGGUGUCUCUGGAAGGAGAAGCUCUUAUAGAAAGGAAGAGACAUCGUUCUGAUCCUGAAGUUUUAUCACUUCCCAAGGUGGUGUCAGAAGCAGGAUCCGAAGUGAAGCUUCUAGCAACCCCAGGAAUGCUGAGUGAACACGCAAGGUACCUGCAGGACCCACUUGUGUCCGUUGAUCUCUCAGAGCAGUUCGGGAUCCUAGGUAAGCUCUCUCAGAUUUCUGAGCUCUACGGAUUCGUGUUUUGAGCUCUCCAAGUUCCUUUGAGCAAAUUUCUGGUCCAUACUGGGUUUGCAGCCACCACAGAAACUGGACUGGGUUCAGGAAUGGAUUUGAUCUGGGAAUUAACUGGCUUGGAUCCAGGUAGAGGCCUUUUACAUCUGACUGGUCAGAAAGGAACUGGUAGUAAGCAUAAUAAUGCAGGGGUUAUAAAAUUUGGCUUUUGAAAAUUCAUAGACUUUUUGUGUUAUAUACACUUUGUUUUAUUUUUCUUGCAUGCUAAGGUAGGAAAAAAAUCACUGGCUACAUUAAUCAAGAGAACCUGAGUGUAAAGUCAAUAUUUUAGGUAAACUGGGAUCCUUAGUUUCUGGAAAACUGAGUUCCUUCUGGCUUAUACUUUAGACCUGGGAGGAGCAGAGUCUUAAAGAAACAGCAAAAUCUUACUAAAGAUAACUUACAGUGGAAGCGAACAACAGUGCAUUCAAGUGCAUUUUAAAAAUGAGGGGCUGUCGGUAAAGUCCCUUUUGUUGCUGUAGUCCCAAAGACUACAGCAGGUCACCUGCUAUUCUCUUUGGGAUAAUCUGUCUUGCGUUGGCUGUGGAUGUUAGGAGUAGG
rnacentral:lncRNA from 1 species